rnacentral:rRNA from 1 species
GUAGGUGGCAAGCGUUGUCCGGGAACUAUUGGGGCGUAAAGCGCGCGCAGGCGGUUCUUUAAGUCUGAUGUGAAAGCCCACGGGCUCAACCGUGGAGGGUCAUUGGAAACUGGAGAACUUGAGUACAGAAGAGGAAAGCGGAAUUCCACGUGUAGCGGUGAAAUGCGUAGAGAUGUGGAGGAACACCAGUGGCGAAGGCGGCUUUCUGGUCUGUAACUGACGCUGAGGCGAGAAAGCGUGGGGAGCAAACAGGAUUAGAUACCCUGGUAGUCCACGCCGUAAACGAUGAGUGCUAAGUGUUAGGGGGUUUCCGCCCCUUAGUGCUGCAGCUAACGCAUUAAGCACUCCGCCUGGGGAGUACGGCCGCAAAGGCUG